GAUGAACGCUGGCGGCGUGCCUAAUACAUGCAAGUCGAGCGAACAGACGAGGAGCUUGCUCCUCUGACGUUAGCGGCGGACGGGUGAGUAACACGUGGAUAACCUACCUAUAAGACUGGGAUAACUUCGGGAAACCGGAGCUAAUACCGGAUAACAUGUUGAACCGCAUGGUUCAACAGUGAAAGUCGGUUUUGCUGUCUCUUAUAGAUGGAUCCGCGUCGCAUUAGCUAGUUGGUAAGGUAACGGCUUACCAAGGCAACCAUGCGUAGCCGACCUGAGAGAGUGAUAGGCGACACUGGAACUGAGACACGGUCCAGACUACUACGGGAGGCAGCAGUAGGGAAUGUUCCGCAAUGGGCGAAAGCCUGACGGAGCAACGCCGCGUGAGUGAAGAAGAUCUUCGGAGCGUAAAAAUCUGUUAUUAGGGAAGAACAAAUGUGUAAGUAACUAUGCACGUCUUGACGGUACCUAAUCAGAAAGCCACGGCUAACUACGUG
rnacentral:rRNA from 1 species